AUGUUGGACAAAAAGGACCAAAGGGUCAUGUUGGCAUUAGAGGAUUGCAAGGACCCGUUGGACCACCAGGAGAAAAGGGAAAGCAAGGUGCCCCAGGGUACAAGGG